UAAAUGUGGUUGCAAGGAAGCAAAUGAGUCAGUCUUAGAGUGGCACAGUGGGAGGAAGGCUCAACCCUUUCCAGCUUCCCAGAGCGGAGAAGGUGGCUACCAGCCAAAACAAUCGAGGCAGCCUCUGGAAGCAAGAGAAGACAAGAGAAGGAAUUGUCCCUUAGAGAGUCUAGAAAGGAGCAAGACCAUUUGAACAUUUUGAGGUUUAUCCAGUGAGGCUCAUUUUGGACUUCUGACUUUAAGAACUGAAGCUGAGCAACUGCAUAGAGAGCCAGGUCUUCCCAGAGGAUUUCUUGAAGGCUUCCAAUAGCAACUUGAGAAGAGAUAAACUCACUGAAUCUGGAAGCAUUUCAUCAUUUUUAUAUGCUACCUUGUUAAAUGGGUUAAAACUGAACUAGAAUUUAUUUCAUGGACAUAAAACCCACAUCCAUAUAAAGAAAGUCAUCAUGAAUGACAUAUAAAUAUGUACAUUUCCAAGUAAAGCAUAACACAUGCUCAUUAUAUAUUUGCUGAAUGAGCAGAAAAUAUAUUAAAAAAGGGCAUAGAGAACAAGUUUGCAGCUCAAACACCACUGUUUUUUUCUAAUUUAAUUCUUAAAUAAUGUGUAAGACAUUCAAAAAUCCUGAAAGAAAUAACUCUCAGCUCUCUUAACUGUUCAGGCCUAUGAAUAUUCCCACCCUGGUAUCAAUAAUUAAGGAAAAAAUUAAUCCUCUUUAUCUGAAUUACAAUCAAUAACAUAUGUACUGCUUUAAAAUGAUGUUGGAUUUCAUAGUAUGGUAGGGUAUUGAGCAUUCUUCAUAAAUUUGAAAAUACUAUUCUCUGAUUUUGAGAUGCUCUUUUGACCUUGACUGGCUCAGAAAUUACGAAGAAUUUUUGCUUUGAGACAGUGGUAUGUGUUGAUCGGAAGAUGCCUUGAGCUACGAAAAAGGUUUUGUGUUCUCUGCAUAAAAGUAUUCCAGGAAAAGGAUUUAGAAUUUCCUGGCACAUCACAUCUCUGGUUGUCAUAAGGAAGAACAUUUUCCAAUUGAAUUAGGUGGGUAGGAAAUUAACACUGAAAGUUAUUUUUUAAACAUCAACAUUUAAAUACAUGCAUACAAAUAUGACAAUUUGAUCACUGAGUUUGUUUUUAAUGAAUUAAUACAAAAAUAUGUAUUAGUCGUCAGACUGGGUAUUACUCAUCACUUCUUUCAUAUUUCAGAAACAGGAAAAUAAAAUAACUGACAUUUAAAAUCAUCUGCGUUAACAUUCUCAGCUAGCAAAGAGUAUUUCAGUCAUUCUGUUUUAAAGUUCUAUAAACUAUCAACAAGAUAGUAUAUCUACUCAUUAUUACUUGAUGUCUUGGUGCAGUAAUGAAGAGAUACUGUCUAAAACAAUGGUCUGUCCCAGAUGAGACAGUAGUAUAAGUGAAAAACACUCAUUUCAAUACAUUAAUUUUUAGCACUGUGAUCAAAAAUGUUUCAAUAAAAAUUUAUGUAUCUUUUUUAUGUUCAAAUUUCAAAAAUGUACGAAAGAAAAAAAGCAGACAAAAAAAAUGCUUUCAAAAUGCUACCCUCCGUAAAGAGCUGAAUUGAAUUUCAUUGGAAAAUCUACCAAACAUUCAAAAGCAAGUCAUUCUAAUGCCCCUUAAACUGUUACAAAGAAUAAGGAGGACAAGACAACAUUCAGAGCAUUUUUAUGAGUGAAGAUAUUCAUAUUAUACUCAAUUCUGUCAAUUCAUUUUACAAGGAUGUUAGAGAUAUAAUGGCAUAAAUGAUAGGUAAUAAAAAAGGAAAAGUAUAGACUGGACCUGCUUGGUAAUGAAUAAAACAGUAUCAGUAGAAUCUCAUACUAAAGGCACACCAAAACAGUAUAUCAUGAUCAAGUAGAAUUAGUCUAGAAAUUCAGGGAUGAUUCAAUACAAAUCAUCAACUAAUAUAAUUCAUACCACAGAUAUAAAAACUUUCAAAAAGUCCACUAUUUGUUGAUAAACAAAACAUUUUAAAAAAUAUAAUGACUUACUAAUCUUGAUGAGAUUUACAUGCCUCCAUUGCAAAACCAGUAUCUGACAAACUGCGAAUAGAUUAGCAACACCCAAAUCAGGAAAAGACCUGCUAUCCUCGAAUCUUUACUGAUAUUUAUGGUUGAAUUACAGUUCUUAUUCAAAACAAUAUGAAAAGAAAAAAGAAUUUGAGGAAAAAAGAACUGGAAAAGAAGAAACAUGCUUAAUGUCCUGAUUUUAUGAUACAGUGUAUGGACAAUUUAGAGGAGGUUUUAAAAAAGUAAAAACCAAUACAAGCAGUUCAAUAAUAGACCAGACUAUUAAAAAUUAGGAAAUUCAAAACAUUAAUAUAGUCAAACAAUGAUCACAGAGAUGUUCAAACAAACACAAAGAGUAAAAGAGACUACCUAAGGUUAAAUGUGCAAGACCUAUAGAUGGGAAAUAUUUAAAUACUGAAGAAGAACACAAAUACAGUCUUAAAGAGAUGAAAGGAAAUGCAAUUUUUUAUUAUAACAAUCACACACGGUAGGGAUACUGAUCUAUACUAAGUAAAAUAGAAACUUAUCAUGGUCCCAAUAAAAUUACCAACAGACUUUCACUGAAUGUAAAAAGGUUAUUAGGAAUGUUGUAUGGAAAAAAAUAACAAACAUAGGUAGAUAAGAAAACCCUAAAAAAUAUCAACAAGGAAGAGUAAAACUGGCCCUACCACAUAUUAAGAUCAAGGGAAAAAAAAAAAACUUUCUCAUAAUAGCAGUAUGCUAUUUACACAUGAAUAAUCAGAAAGACCACUGGCUCUAAAGAGUAAAAUAGGAUCCAAGUACCUAUAGAAGUAUAGUAUAUGAUAAAUUAAGUCAUAGUAGAAAAGAGUUUUUGAUUAAUAUUUUGAAGACCAUUUGAUAAACAUUUUUUAAAAAGCUAAAAUUUAACCCCAUUUGUCAUAACUUUCACUAGGAUAAAUGCCAAAUAGAUCAGAUAUAAAAUAUUUAAAAAGAAACUAUGCAAGUCCUAAAACAUUUAUUAGUUAUGUUGGAAUUGGGAAGCCUAAGUAAUAUGUCUCAAAAUUCAGAAAUGGCAAAAGAAAACAUGAAUAAAUUUUACUAUAAAAAAAAAAACCUUGGGCACGGAAAA